GACGAACGCUGGCGGCGUGCCUAAUACAUGCAAGUCGAGCGGACCACUUCGGUGGUCAGCGGCGGACGGGUGAGUAACACGUGGGCAACCUGCCUGUAAGACUGGGAUAACACCGGGAAACCGGUGCUAAUACCGGAUAAUCCUUCUCUUCUCAUGAAGAGAAUCUGAAAGACGGUUUCGGCUGUCACUUACAGAUGGGCCCGCGGCGCAUUAGCUAGUUGGUGAGGUAACGGCUCACCAAGGCAACGAUGCGUAGCCGACCUGAGAGGGUGAUCGGCCACACUGGGACUGAGACACGGCCCAGACUCCUACGGGAGGCAGCAGUAGGGAAUCCUCCGCAAUGGACGAAAGUCUGACGGAGCAACGCCGCGUGAGCGAUGAAGGCCUUCGGGUCGUAAAGCUCUGUUGUCAGGGAAGAACAAGUACCGGAGUAACUGCCGGUACCUUGACGGUACCUGACCAGAAAGCCACGGCUAACUACGUGCCAGCCGCCGCCGUAA
rnacentral:rRNA from 1 species